AUUGAACGCUGGCGGCAGGCCUAACACAUGCAAGUCGAGCGGAUGAGUGGAGCUUGCUCCAUGAUUCAGCGGCGGACGGGUGAGUAAUGCCUAGGAAUCUGCCUGGUAGUGGGGGACAACGUUUCGAAAGGAACGCUAAUACCGCAUACGUCCUACGGGAGAAAGCAGGGGACCUUCGGGCCUUGCGCUAUCAGAUGAGCCUAGGUCGGAUUAGCUAGUAGGUGAGGUAAUGGCUCACCUAGGCGACGAUCCGUAACUGGUCUGAGAGGACGAUCAGUCACACUGGAACUGAGACACGGUCCAGACUCCUACGGGAGGCAGCAGUGGGGAAUAUUGGACAAUGGGCGAAAGCCUGAUCCAGCCAUGCCGCGUGUGUGAAGAAGGUCUUCGGAUUGUAAAGCACUUUAAGUUGGGAGGAAGGGCAGUAAGUUAAUACCUUGUUGUUUUGACGUUACCAACAGAAUAAGCACCGGCUAACUUCGUGCCAGCCGCCGCGGUAA
rnacentral:rRNA from 1 species